rnacentral:lncRNA from 1 species
GUGAAUUAAGGUUUCAAUUGGGAGUAAAGCUGCUGAUCAGGUGUAAUUAAGUAAGGAGAUUAGCUUGACUCAUCCAGGUGGACCCAAUGUAAUUACAAGGAUACUUAAAUGUAGAAGGAGGCAGAAGGAUUAGUAUCAAAGUGAGGUGCUUCCUGAGAGGUUUGAGUUGCCAUUUCUGGCUUUCAGGUUGGGGGGAAAAAGCCGCAAGGCAAACACAAUGGGCAGCAAGGCAGCAGAUUCUCCUCAGAACCUCCAAAAGAAGUGCCUUAAUACUUCUGACUUCAGAAAGAAUGAGAGUAAGUAAAUGGACACCCAGAAGCAUGGAGUCACAAG